rnacentral:rRNA from 1 species
UGACCUCUGACCUCAAAUC